UACGUAGGGCGCGAGCGUUGUCCGGAUUUAUUGGGCGUAAAGAGCUCGUAGGCGGCUUGUCGCGUCGUGCGUGAAAUCUUGGGGCUCAACCCCAAGCUUGCGGUCGAUACGGGCAGGCUAGAGUUCGGUAGGGGAGACUGGAACUCCUGGUGUAGCGGUGAAAUGCGCAGAUAUCAGGAGGAACACCGGUGGCGAAGGCGGGUCUCUGGGCCGUAACUGACGCUGAGGAGCGAAAGCGUGGGGAGCGAACAGG
rnacentral:rRNA from 1 species